AGAGUUUGAUCCUGGCUCAGAACGAACGCUGGCGGCGUGCCUAACACAUGCAAGUCGAACGAGAACAGUUCCUUCGGGGACUCAGUAAAGUGGCGCACGGGUGAGUAACACGUGGGUAACCUAUCCUUGGGUUUGGGACAACACCUCGAAAGGGGUGCUAAUACCGGAUAAGACCACGCCCUCCACGGAGGGUGAGGUCAAAGGUGGCCGCUCCAUGGAAGCUAUCGCCUGAGGCUGGGCCCGCGCCCCAUCAGCUUGUUGGUGAGGUAAAAGCUCACCAAGGCCGAGACGGGUAGCUGGUCUGAGAGGAUGUCCAGCCACACUGGAACUGAGACACGGUCCAGACUCCUACGGGAGGNAGCAGUGGGGAAUAUUGCGCAAUGGGCGAAAGCCNGACGCAGCGACUCCGCGUGAGUGAUGAAGGCCCUCUGGNNNUAAAGCUCUGUCGGAGGGGAACGAA
rnacentral:rRNA from 1 species